rnacentral:rRNA from 1 species
GACGAACGCUGGCGGCGUGCUUAACACAUGCAAGUCGAACGGAAAGGCCUGCUUUCCCUUGUGGAUUGCGGGUACUCGAGUGGCGAACGGGUGAGUAACACGUGAGUGAUCUGCCCCCAACUUUGGUAUAAGCCUGGGAAACUGGGUCUAAUUCCCGAUAGGACUGCAGGGUGGUGCCUGUGGUGGAAAACGAUUUUCUAGUGGUUGGGGAUGAGCUCGCGGCCUAUCAGCUUGUUGGUGGGGUAAUGGCCUACCAAGGCGGCGACGGGUAGCCGGCCUGAGAGGGUGGACGGCCACAUUGGGACUGAGAUACGGCCCAGACUCCUACGGGAGGCAGCAGUGGGGAAUAUGACACAAUGGGCGGAAGCCUGAUGCAGCGACGCCGCGUGGGGGAUGACGGCCUUCGGGUUGUAAACUCCUUUCGACCGCGAGGAAGCCACCUGGUUGGAAGGGUGGUGACGGUAGUGGUAGAAGAAGCACCGGCUAACUACGUG